rnacentral:SRP_RNA from 1 species
GCCGGGUGCAGUGGCGUGUGCCUAUGGUCCCAGCUACUUGGGAGGCUGAGGUGGGAGAAUCACUUGAGCCCAGGAGGUCAAGGCUGCAGUGAGCAUGUUCACACAACUGCACUCCAGCCUGGGUGACAGAGUGAGAUCCUGUCUCAA